UAACCUGCCUGGUAGCGGGGGAUAACUAUUGGAAACGAUAGCUAAUACCGCAUAAUAGUAGAUGUUGCAUGACAUUUACUUAAAAGGUGCAAUUGCAUCACUACCAGAUGGACCUGCGUUGUAUUAGCUAGUUGGUGGGGUAACGGCUCACCAAGGCGACGAUACAUAGCCGACCUGAGAGGGUGAUCGGCCACACUGGGACUGAGACGCGGCCCAG
rnacentral:rRNA from 1 species